rnacentral:rRNA from 1 species
GGGUUGUGAGGUUAAGUGACUAAGCGUACACGGUGGAUGCCUAGGCAGUCGAGGCGAUGAAGGGCGUGCUAAUCUGCGAAAAGCGUCGGUAAGGUGAUAUGAACCGUUAUAACCGGCGAUACCCGAAUGGGGAAACCCAGUGUGUUUCGACACACUAUCAUGUCAUGAAUACAUAGUGGCAUGAGGCGAACCGGGGGAACUGAAACAUCUAAGUACCCCGAGGAAAAUCAACCGAGAUUCCCCAGUAGCGGCGAGAGCGAACGGGGAGGAGCCCAGAACCUUCCCCAGUAGCGGCGAGCGAACGGGGAGGAGCCCAGAACCUGAAUCGGCUUGUGUGUUAGUGGAAGCGUCUGGAAAGUCGCGCAGCAAGGGUGAUAGCCCCGUACACUAAAAUGCACAGGUCGUGAGUUCGAUGAGUAGGGCGGGACACGUGACAUCCUGUCUGAAUAUGGGGGGACCAUCCUCCAAGGCUAAAUACUCCUGACUGACCGAUAGUGAACCAGUACCGUGAGGGAAAGGCGAAAAGAACCCCGGCGAGGGGAGUGAAAUAGAACCUGAAACCGUGUACGUACAAGCAGUGGGAGCACCUUCGUGGUGUGACUGCGUACCUUUUGUAUAAUGGGUCAGCGACUUAUAUUUUGUAGCAAGGUUAACCGUAUAGGGGAGCCGUAGGAAACCGAGUCUUAACUGGGCGAAUAGUUGCAAGGUAUAGACCCGAAACCCGGUGAUCUAGCCAUGGGCAGGUUGAAGGUUGGGUAACACUAACUGGAGGACCAACCGACUAAUGUUGAAAAAUUAGCGG